CUCGCGCCUCUGAGCACGGGGCGCGCGGGCGCCGCCGUGGUGGCCGUGCCGCCGCCGCGCAACCUGUUCUGAUACCGCGGCCACUCGCUGCUCACCUACGUCAUCGCCUGAGGCGGCGCGACGCCGGUUCAGACGAGCGGUACAAAUUCGGUUGGAUGCAGCAUUCAACUACAUUCUCGGUAAUUGAUCUCAAUGUAUUUGAAAAUGUCCUAAAAUACCUGUGGUAGAAAUAAUACUAUAGAUUGUUAGUUCGUAAAUUUGUAUUGUAGAGACUGUUAGUUUUAUUCCCAAUAUUUUGUGUGUUUACAUAUUAUUGACACUCCUAGCUAUUAUGAUAACAUUGAAGGUGUGAAUUAAAAAAGCUAAUUUUUGCCCCAAAUCAAUGAAAUAAGUAAUUAUUUGAUCUAAAAUAUAUUUUUAUAAGAUAAUGGCUAUUGGACUUUAAAAAACUAUAAUUAAUUAAUACCAUCCAUAUUUAUUAUCGUUUUUACAUUAUACAAACUAUUAUGUUUUUGUGUAAAUCAUUACAUAGUAACCAUUGAUAUUUUAGCUUAAUAUCUUUUACUUUAAGUUUUGUACUUGUAGUUGGACGACACAAAGUAUUACUUUCUUUUAUCAAUGUAAACAGUAUUAACUUACAUCCGAUUCCACUAUUACAUUCGUAUAAACUUUUUCGAAUACUUAGAUUUAUGUUUUAUACUUAACUUUCCUAUUAGCAAUCAUUCUUGAAUUAACUAUUUUCAGAACUAAAACGUGUUUUAAUAUUAUAGUAACACGUUCUUUUAAUAUUUUUACUUCAAUACAGUUCAAUAUUGUGUUAGCUACAUAAGAUUCUCAAUCUGUACUGUCAUUUUCUUGUCUCACCUGCACGUAAUAAAUGUUAUAUCUAUUAUUACGUGUACUGUGGUUCUAUCUAAUGAACAAUUCACUAGCUCAGACACGACUUCUGAAUAGACAUAAACCUACAAAGCUAUAUUGUAUUUUCAAUGUUUUACAAAGUCUUCAAAUCACUGAAUCUCACAUAAUUAAGGCAAGUGAGUCUUUUUCAUUAAAAUUCGUGCACAGGCUCUUAAACGUAUUUUAGAUCACCGGCUUGUGAUACUUUUGUAUGUGUAUAUACAGUGUGAGUCACGUUAAAGUGUACAUAUGAAAAUAGAUGAAACGAGACCUAUUUUUAUCGACAAAAAAGUGGUCAAAAAUUUUUUGAGAUUUUUUUUUAAUUUUUUAUAGAAUUUUUUUUCUUCCAAUUACUUAUUGUAAAGAAAACGUAAUAACUUUUAAACUAAGCAGUAUAUCCUGAUAAAAUAAAAACUGUAAUAAUGCUAAAUAACAGGCGAUACUAAAAAAAUACAUACAAUACACAAAAAAUGCCCACAAGUAAUAAAAAAUGAUACUUUUUGAAAAAAAUCUGCUUAAAAAUUCGUGUUUUUUUGGUUAUUUGAUAAAUUUCUCCGAAAAAUGCCCCUAUAAUAGGUGGUUUUUAUUGUUUUGUAUUAUUCUCUAUUGUAUUACCUUUGUAAAAUCAAAAAUUGCAUGUCUCUAUCCCUAUCACAACAUUUGCUAUGAUCGUUUGAACUAAGCCUCUCCGGGCGCGCCAUUCAACGCUUCGUUAACAACGAAACUGAAAAUAGCUCUAGAUUUGUAAUUUUGAUAAAGACAAGUUAGAUUUCAAGUAAAAACAAAAGAUUUCGAAGUAAAAUAAGUAUUUUAGUUAAAAUUAAAAUUGUCCCUACCUGUAGAGGAGAAUAAUGUUGUGGUAGGCCUUUGUUCAAACUAUCAUAGCAAAUGUUGUGAUAGGGAUAGAGACAUGCAAUUUUUGGUUUUACAAAGGUAAUACGAUAGAGAAUAAUACACAACAAUAAAAACUACCUGUUAUAGGGGCAUUUUUUGGAGAAAUUUAUCAAAUAACCAAAAAAACACGAAUUUUUAAGCAGAUUUUUUUCAAAAAGUAUCAUUUUUUAUUACUUGUGGGCAUUUUUUGUGUAUUGUAUGUAUUUUUUUAGUAUCGCCUGUUAUUUAGCAUUAUUACAGUUUUUAUUUUAUCAGGAUAUACCGCCUAGUUUAAAAGUUAUUACGUUUUCUUUACAAUAAGUAAUUGGAAGAAAAAAAAUUCUAUAAAAAAUUAAAAAAAAAUCUCAAACAUUUUUUGACCUCUUUUUUGUCGAUAAAAAUAGGUCUAGUUUCAUCUAUUUUCAUAUGUACACUUUAACGUGACUCACACUGUAUUUAUUUGAUUUAGGCCCGAUUCGAACAAACUUUUAUCCGAGAAUAACUCCUAUACCACGAGUAACUAACUGGCACAUUGACAGUUUCAGUAUGGGAAGUAUGUCAAAACUGACGAUUUAUUCUGAGAUUAAUAUUUACUCUUGUUUGGUCGAAUCCACCCUUAAAGAUCAAUCCGGUAAGCAGAAGGUUAAGGGUACUUUCUAAAUCGGAUUUUAGACUAAUGGUAAAACUGACUUCGCGAUUGCAGCGCCCACUUGCAAGGGUGUUGAUGUAAAAAAAAAUGCUGACAUGAACUGUACAGCACAGCCGAGGUUUGAACUCGACGACAUGCGUCAGUGGUCUACGGACAUGGUUUACUUACUGAUCAUGAUGCUGAUGGAUCUCAAAUAUGUAUUUUUAAUUGAAAUUCUAAUCUUACUACUAUUAAAUGUAUGUAUAUAGGUAUAUUUUUAUAAUACUUCAGGAUUAUUCAUCAAACGCUGUUCAGUGGCAGGGCCAUUCUAAACUAAUUCUGAAAUAAUUUCUACGCUCUGUACUGAAAUAUUACUAUAUUACUGUGUCUAUCGAAUACAUACUUAGACUAAGUGAAAGGCCCUGACGACACUAGCGCAAAUGAUAAUAUUCGUGAUAUUGUGUAUGUGUAUAUCAUCAAUAGUAAAUAGUAGUGACGUUUGUUAGUGAUGUAGAUGUAGUAAAUAUUGUAUUUGUAUUUUCACAGACUUUUUGGUUUAAACUGAAUUAUUUCAUUCAAUCAACAUGUAUCACGAAACUGUUUGCGAAUACUUUUAUAAAAACAAAAAACACGUUCUUUGUUGAUUGCUUUAUUGUACUUUUAGUUUGUUCAACAGCAACUUUCUCGCAAUCUCCUUGUAGUUAGUUCACAUUUUAAUAUAAUAUGCGAAUUUUCACAGCUCCCAACAAAUCGACCCUGAAAAUAGUUGAAAAUGUGUAGUCGUUUUUCAAAGCUAGUAUUACUACCACCACUAAAUCCGAUUGCGUAAAGGCGCGCGCGCACUUUUGUCACCGUAACAUUGUCUCUCUUUAAAAAGAUGUACUGUCACGGUGACAAAAAUGUGCAAAAAGUCACCCGUGCGCGCAUAGCUUUAGAAGUUGGUAAAGCCUGGUCCGUGAGCACGUAGAAUUUUGUCCAAUGACCCCAAGCUACCCAUCCUUAUCGCUCGCGCGUAAUUAUAUAGACCAGGCUUUAGUUAGGCAGCUUUUGUGCAUACGAACUAUUACGAACUGUCAAUUAAUUACAUGACCUCUUAUCUUUUUUGUAUGAAUUUAAAAUAUGUACCUAUGUUAAUAAUUAAAGUCCUGUGCUGUGAUGAUGAUUGCAAUGUAACAUCCACAGGACAUUUGAUUUUAUGUCCAUAAAAAGGAAAUUGUAAUCUUACAGAUUUAGGUAAUUUUAAAACGUGUAAAAUCUAUUUUUUAAUAAAUAAAUAUACACAUUAUAA